GACGAACGCUGGCGGCGUGCUUAACACAUGCAAGUCGAACGGAAAGGCCCUGCUUGCAGGGUACUCGAGUGGCGAACGGGUGAGUAACACGUGGGUGAUCUGCCCUGCACUUCGGGAUAAGCCUGGGAAACUGGGUCUAAUACCGGAUAGGAGCCAUUUUUAGUGUGAUGGUUGGAAAGUUUUUUCGGUGUAGGAUGAGCUCGCGGCCUAUCAGCUUGUUGGUGGGGUAAUGGCCUACCAAGGCGGCGACGGGUAGCCGGCCUGAGAGGGUGGACGGCCACAUUGGGACUGAGAUACGGCCAAGACUCCUACGGGAGGCAGCAGUGGGGAAUAUUGCACGAUGGGCGCAAGCCUGAUGCAGCGACGCCGCGUGGGGGAGGACGGCCUUCGGGUUGUAAACUCCUUUCGCUAGGGACGAAGCUUUUUGUGACGGUACCUAGAUAAGAAGCACCGGCUAACUACGUG
rnacentral:rRNA from 1 species